UCCAGUUUAACACUGGCAGUCUUGCUAGAGUGCCCAACUUAAUGCUGGCAACUAACAACAGGGGUUGCGCUCGUUGCGAGACUUAACCCAACAUUUCACAACACGAGCUGACGACAGCCAUGCAGCGCCUCUCUCCGAAUUCCAUUGCUGGCACCCCAUCCUUUCAGACGGGUUCUCGGGAGUUUCUGCCUGGGUAAGGUUUUGCGCGUUGCUUCGAAUUAAACCACAUAAUCCACCGCUUGUGCGGGCCCCCGUCAAUUCCUUUGAGUUUUAAUCUUGCGACCGUACUCCCCAGGCGGAGCACUUAAUGCGUUAGCUUUGUUUCAGGCUCGGUUAAAUGAACCCAAAACUAGUGCUCAUCGUUUACAGCGUGGACUAC
rnacentral:misc_RNA from 1 species